CAAGCAGAGUGGGCAGCCGCCGCGACCUAGCGUCGGGGAGGAAAGUCCGAGCUCCGUCGGACGGGGUGCCGGGUAACUCCCGGGAGGGGCGACCCUACGGAAAGUGCAACAGAAACAUACCGCCAACGGCCUGCAAGGGUACGGGUAAGGGUGAAAUGGCGAGGUAAGAGCUCACCGGCGGGCGGGAAACCGUCCGGCCGUGAAAACCCCACCUGGAGCAAGGCCAAAUAGGGGAACUUAAGGCGCGUCCGCGUUGUUCCCGGGUUGGCCGCUUGAGCCUGCCGGUAACGGCGGGCCUAGAUAGAUGGCUGCCGCCCUUCAUUGAAGGGUACAGAACUCGGCUUAUAGCUCUGCUUGGUAA
rnacentral:RNase_P_RNA from 2 species